AUGAUGAACCGCGUACUUUUUGUAGAACGGUCCGGCGAGUUACGCGUGCCGGCAAGGUUAAGCACUUAAGGUGUGGAGCCGAAGAGAAAUCGAGUCUGAACAGGGCGUUCAGUCAGCACGCGUAGACCCGAAACCGGGUGAUCUACCCAUGUCCAGGUUGAAGUUGCCGUAAAAGGCAAUGGAGGACCGAACGCACAUCCGUUGAAAAGGGUGGCGAUGAGGUGUGGGUAGGGGAGAAAUUCCAAUCGAACCCGGAGAUAGCUGGUUCUCCUCGAAAUAGCUUUAGGGCUAGCCUCAUUUUAGUCUUAUGGAGGUAGAGCACUGAAUUUCCGCGGGGGCGUCAAAGCUUACCAAAGAAUAUCAAACUCCGAAUGCCAUGUAGAUGAUGAAUGGGAGUCAGACUGCACGAGAUAAGUUGGGUGGUCAAAAGGGAAAGAGCCCAGACCUACAGCUAAGGUCCCAAAGUGCGUGUUAAGUGGAAAAGGAUGUGGGAUUUCAAAGACAACCAGGAUGUUGGCUCAGAAGCAGCCAUACAUUCAAAGAGUGCGUAACAGCUCACUGGUCGAGAGGUCCUGCGCCGAAAAUGUCCGGGGCUGAAACACGACACCGAAGCUUAGGAAUCACAUAGUGAUUGGUAGAGGAGCAUUCUUAAAACCGACGAAGCUGUACCGGAAGGAGCAGUGGAGGGAUAAGAAGAGAGAAUGCCGGAAUGAGUAGCGAGAGGAAGGUGGGAAUCCUUCCGGCCGAAUAUCUAAGGUUUCCAGAGUAAAGCUGAUCUGCUCUGGGUAAGUCGGGGCCUAAGGAGAGGUCGAAAGACGUAUCCGAUGGACAACAGGUUUAGAUUCCUGUACCACAUAUAAACAGAACUGUGGGGACGCAUGUGGAAAGCAUAAGCCGGGAAUGGAAAUACCGGUACAAACGGAAGAGGUGUCAGGCUGGCAAAUCCGCCUGGCAAGCCAAAGACGUGAUGUGGAGCGAAAUAAAAGUAGCGAAGUAUGUGAGCCAUGUGCCGAGAAAAGCCGCUAUUGUUUUAUAUGUGCCCGUACCGUAAACCGACACAGGUGGAUGAGGAGAGAAUCCUAAGGUCGACGGAAGAAGCAUUGUUAAGGAACUCGGCAAAAUGACCCCGUAACUUCGGGAGAAGGGGUGCCCACUUCAGGGUGGGCCGCAGAGAAUAGGCUCAAGCAACUGUUUAGCAAAAACACAGGUCUAUGCGAAACCGUAAGGUGAAGUAUAUGGGCUGACGCCUGCCCGGUGCUGGAAGGUUAAGAGGAGAGGUUAGUCGCAAGAUGAAGCUUUGAAUUUAAGCCCCAGUAAACGGCGGCCGUAACUAUAACGGUCCUAAGGUAGCGAAAUUCCUUGUCGGGUAAGUUCCGACCCGCACGAAAGGCGUAAUGAUUUGAGCACUGUCUCGACAAUGCAUCCGGUGAAAUUGAAGUACCAGUGAAGAUGCUGGUUACCCGCGCCAGGACGGAAAGACCCCAUGGAGCUUUACUCCAGUUUGGUACUGGGAUUCGGUACUGCAUGUACAGGAUAGGUGGGAGACUGAGAAAUUGGAACGCCAGUUUCAAUGGAGUCACUGUUGGGAUACCACCCCUGCAGUAUUGGGUUUCUAACCAGCCGCUGUGAUCCAGCGGUGGGACAAUGCCAGGCGGGGAGUUUGACUGGGGCGGUCGCCUCCGAAAGGGUAUCGGAGGCGCUCAAAGGUUCCCUCAGAAUGGUCGGAAACCAUUUUAAGAGUGCAAAGGCAGAAGGGAGCUUGACUGCGACACCGACGGGUGGAGCAGGUACGAAAGUAGGACUUAGUGAUCCGGUGGCAUAAAGUGGGAUUGCCAUCGCUCAACGGAUAAAAGCUACCCUGGGGAUAACAGGCUUAUCACUCCCAAGAGUUCACAUCGACGGAGUGGUUUGGCACCUCGAUGUCGGCUCAUCGCAUCCUGGGGCUGUAGCAGGUCCCAAGGGUUGGGCUGUUCGCCCAUUAAAGCGGUACGCGAGCUGGGUUCAGAACGUCGUGAGACAGUUCGGUCCCUAUCCGGCGCGGGCGGAGGAUAUUUGAGAGGAGCUGUCCUUAGUACGAGAGGACCGGGAUGGACGGACCACUGGUGUAUCUGCUGUCGACCAACGGCAUGGCAGAGUAGCCAAGUCCGGAAGGGAUAAACGCUGAAGGCAUCUAAGCGUGAAGCCCCCCUCAAGAUGAGAUAUCCCUCACAUAAGUGAGUAAGAUCCCUUGA
rnacentral:rRNA from 1 species